CCUACGGGUGGCAGCAGUGAGGAAUAUUGGUCAAUGGACGAGCGUCUGAACCAGCCAAGUAGCGUGAAGGAUGACUGCCCUAUGGGUUGUAAACUUCUUUUAUAUGGGAAUAAAACGUUCCACGUGUGGGAUUUUGUAUGUACCAUAUGAAUAAGGAUCGGCUAACUCCGUGCCAGCAGCCGCGGUAAUACGGAGGAUCCGAGCGUUAUCCGGAUUUAUUGGGUUUAAAGGGUGCGUAGGUGGAUUGUUAAGUCAGUUGUGAAAGUUUGCGGCUCAACCGUAAAAUUGCAGUUGAAACUGGCAGUCUUGAGUACAGUAGAGGUAGGCGGAAUUCGUGGUGUAGCGGUGAAAUGCUUAGAUAUCACGAAGAACUCCGAUUGCGAAGGCAGUUCACUGGACUGCAACUGAUACUGAGGCUCGAAAGUGUGGGUAUCAAACAGGAUUAGAUACCCCAGUAGUU
rnacentral:rRNA from 1 species